UACGGGGGGAGCAAGCGUUGUUCGGAUUUACUGGGCGUAAAGGGCGCGUAGGCGGCGCAACAAGUCACUUGUGAAAUCUCCGGGCUUAACUCGGAACGGUCAACUGAUACUGUGCGACUAGAGUGCGGAAGGGGCAACUGGAAUUCUCGGUGUAGCGGUGAAAUGCGUAGAUAUCGAGAGGAACACCUGCGGCGAAGGCGGGUUGCUGGGCCGACACUGACGCUAAUGCGCGAAAGCCCAGGGGAGCGAACGGGG
rnacentral:rRNA from 1 species